rnacentral:rRNA from 1 species
ACGCCGGGAAACUCACCGGACAAGACAGCUGAAUGAUAGUCGGGCUGAAGACUCUACUUGACUAGCUGAGAGGAGGUGCAUGGCCGUCGUCAGUUCGUACUGUGAAGCAUCCUGUUAAGUCAGGCAACGAGCGAGACCCACGCCAACAGUUGCUAGCUCGUCCUCCGGGAUGGAGAGGACACUGUUGGGACCGCCUCUGCUAAAGAGGAGGAAGGAAUGGGCAACGGUAGGUCAGCAUGCCCCGAAUUGUCCGGGCUACACGCGGGCUACAAUGGGUGGGACAAUGGGUAUCGACACCGAAAGGUGAAGGCAAUCUCCUAAACCCAUCCUUAGUUCGGAUUGUGGGCUGCAACUCGCCCACAUGAAGCUGGAAUCCGUAGUAAUCGUGUUUCAAAAUAGCACGGUGAAUAUGUCCCUGCUCCUUGCACACACCGCCCGUCAAG